ACAGCAGCCGCCGCGGUAAUGCGUAGGUGGCAAGCGUUGUCCGGAAUUAUUGGGCGUAAAGGGCUCGCAGGCGGUUUCUUAAGUCUGAUGUGAAAGCCCCCGGCUCAACCGGGGAGGGUCAUUGGAAACUGGGAAACUUGAGUGCAGAAGAGGAGAGUGGAAUUCCACGUGUAGCGGUGAAAUGCGUAGAGAUGUGGAGGAACACCAGUGGCGAAGGCGACUCUCUGGUCUGUAACUGACGCUGAGGAGCGAAAGCGUGGGGAGCAAACAGGAUUAGAUACCCCGGUAGUCCCUGUCUCUUAUAC
rnacentral:rRNA from 1 species